CCAAUAAACGGGUAGGAGGGUAGGAGAGGAAACCACAGUAGGAAACACAACAAAAGAGGACUGAAAACUAAAUGUUCCACAAUUUUACUAUUUUAGACACAGCAUUAGUGUUAGAUGAUCAAGUUUAAUCAAUAACCAGGGUAUUGAAAUGCUUCCUGAAGGUUGCACAAGAGGAACAGGGAAGAUUGCAAGUGGAGCUACUAGUGGAACUAGUAGAGAUUUCCCACGACCUUAUUUCCUUGGCAGAGCAGGAUGGUCAGUUAUUUGUCUCACCAAGGCCCAAUGGAGUUGAAAGAUGGACAUGAUUAGUUUCCAAAUUGUUUGGGAGAGUCAUGCCCUAAUAGUGGCAUAAUGCCAUAAGCGACUCACAGGCUAUGGAAAUACUACUGUCUAUUCAUCACCUCCCUUCUGAGGAGGAAGCAGACUGCAGAGACAGCUGCAGAACCCGCUAGAAAAUAAAAGAUAAGCUCCUUUGCCAUGCUGAAAUAGCAAGAACAAAAGCAGGCCAAAGAUUCGUCUGAUCAGUCCCAAGGAAGAGGAGGAGUGAGUGCCUUUACUAUGUUGGAAUGUAAAUUAGAGGAGCUGGCAGCAGGCAAGGGGCAAAUAAAAGAGCUGUUAGCAGACUGAAGUACAGAGCUGGAGGGAGCUUAAUACAGCUGCCUCACAUACAGACACAGACCCUGAUGAGCUAUCAGUGGCUGGUAACUAGACAAGAGGUACCUUCUUCCAGUAAAUACCAUUAAACACAUGCUAUGGCUGUGCCUAGAGGAGUGUCACUUGUGGACAUUUGUGAAGCAGCGACAUGGAGAUCACUCUCUACCUUUUCCAGAUUUUACAGACGAAUAUUAGUGCGUUGCAACCCAUGUGCUCUGUCAUGAUUGAGUGAUAAUCACAAUAGAAUACAGCAUUAAGACUCGAAGCGAUACUUAUCCUCAAUAGAGUACAAUUCUGAUCCUCAGUAGAGUACAAUAUCAGCCUCUGUUUUAUCUGGAUGCUCUCUAAGCCAAAUUCUACACAAAACAUAUUAAAAAUAAGAAUCCUUACUGCCUGACUUGUGUUUCUACAAGAAAAGUGGAACAAAAGAGCAUUUUCUUUUCUUACUCCUACAACCCUAAAGCUUGUUAUCACUGGCUGUGAAUCAACACUAUUAAAACACAGCAUAACUUUUCUGGAUACACAUUUUUCUAAACACAUUUUUGACUUUGAGUGUGUUUUCCCCAUACGUAGCAACUGUUUUGACAGCAGCAUAUCACGGCUGAGCUCACUCAGACUUUUAGCACAAAUAAUCUACAAUGCCAAUGAACUUUUUUUUAUUCCAAGUAAAUAAUGAACAAUACUGCUUAACAUAAAAGUCCUUGUUCUUAUUAACUGACUGCUCUCAGAUUGUAAAGAGACUUUAAAUUAGUGUUUUAUAAAAGGCAGGUGUACCCGGAGGGAAAACCACAUAAAUCUAUAGAUAAAAACCCAUAAAAGUACUAAAUUGAAGCUUUCAUGGUAUAAACACUUGUCCUUGGGGUGGUACUCUCAAAGGUAUGUCUAUUAUACCUAUUAUACAUCUGAUUAAUGGACCUAGAGGACACAGUGUAUCUUUAAAACUCAUUAAAGGCAUAUAACUACACCUUAACAGAACUGAGAUUGUGGUACACAAACAGAGCAGGAUCUUAGGGAGUGAUCUCAGUGCUUUGCAUCAUAUUCAAAUGUGUGUUUGAGAACAUUUUACCCUGAGCUGUUUGAAUUAUAAGAUGACAGAGAUGUGACAGCUCAGUAAUUGGGCCUGUAGGAACCAUAGUGUUGCCAGACAGCAAUGCUGAGCAAGGUUCUUAACCCUCAAGUGCUCAACUCUAUGAAAGCAUGCAUCUCAUCUUGGCUUUGACAUUAAACUGUAGAUCUGUACUUUGAUUUGAUACACACAAGGGCACUAAAUCCUGCGUCCCAUGAAAAAGUGCUCCUGCUGUUGGCUCCAAAUAUCGCUCAUGUGCUGUUUAGAUUAUGGGCAUGCUAUACAGGAAAUAUAGCAUGCAUACUGUAUUUUGUAGUGUUUCCAGCUAGAGACCAGGACUGUGCCAUGCAAAAAUAUGCAUUAUUUUAAAUAGCUGCUGCCAGUCUCUGGCAUAAAGACCACUUUGAUUAACAUGCUAGAAUUUUGGAUAGAUCACAGCUGCAAUCUUGUGUAAAAAGCAAUGAAGAGAGCUUUAAAAUUUUAGUAAUAAUAAG